GAUGAACGCUGGCGGCGUGCCUAAUACAUGCAAGUCGAGCGAACGGACGAGAAGCUUGCUUCUCUGAUGUUAGCGGCGGACGGGUGAGUAACACGUGGAUAACCUACCUAUAAGACUGGGAUAACUUCGGGAAACCGGAGCUAAUACCGGAUAAUAUUUUGAACCGCAUGGUUCAAAAGUGAAAGACGGUCUUGCUGCCUCUUAUAGAUGGAUCCGCGCUGCAUUAGCUAGUUGGUAAGGUAACGGCUUACCAAGGCAACGAUGCAUAGCCGACCUGAGAGCGUGAUCGGCCACACUGGAACUGAGACACGGUCCAGACACCUACGGGAGGCAGCAGUAGGGAAUAUUCCGCAAUGGGCGAAAGCCUGACGGAGCAACGCCGCGUGAGUGAUGAAGGUCUUCGGAUCGUAAAACUCUGUUAUUAGGGAAGAACAUAUGUGUAAGUAACUGUGCACAUCUUGACGGUACCUAAUCAGAAAGCCACGGCUAACUACGUG
rnacentral:rRNA from 1 species